UAAUAACAACGCUGCAUAUUGGUCCUCCGAUCCUUCUCGCCUCUCCUCUUCGGAAGAAGAGGAGGAAAUCCGUUACACCUAUUGCGUGCACUGGCUCACUUCCUGCGAGGUCACCAGGGGCGUGUCCAGCACCUGGUACAGAUUCAAUCUGCUGAUGCCCAAAAUGUCCGAGGUGUCCAGCCGGUAAAGGCCAGGAAAUACUACAGUACUGUGAUGGAGGCUGUUCUUAUCCGCUUCUUUGGCUUCCUGCAUGACACACUAACACACCUGAGCAAUCUGUCCGCCUGUCUCCAGAGGUCCACUAUCACCAUAGCAGAAGCCCACUGCUCCUUGUGCUCAACACAGACAGUACUUAAAGAAGUAAAAAAACAGAGAAGGGUCAGAAAAGCGAUUAUUCACCGCAGACUGGAAGAAACUUCUUCCUUUAACGAGUCCGAUCAGAAGGAUGUCCUGCUUUCCCGGAACAGGGCCAGAUCCACGCCUUUUGCUUGAAGACAAGACUCCGGAAAAGGGGAUGCAGAUCCGGAAGCGAACGAGCAAACUCCCAAUGCAUUCCAUUCUCCUUGCUAAUGUGCAAUCGUUGGAAAAUAAAAUUGAUGACCUACUAUUAAAAUUAUACUACCAACCUGACAUUAAAAACUGUAACAUCUUAUGUUUCACCGAGACGUGGCUGAACAAAGAAACGGACAAUAUAGAGCUGGCGGGAUUUUCCAUGCACCGGCAGAACAGAGACACUAC